CACUGAGUGUUACAUCCUGCCACUAUUUAUUUUGUAAAAAAAUACUCCCAAGUUGGUUACUUUGUUGGUUGGAGCUCCCUUGAGUGGGUGACUGGUGUUGUUACGAAAUCCACUCCCUUAUGUAAGGGACAUGGUGUGCGGUGCCCUCUUUGUGCUCGUCCUGCAGCUGUCAGGAUUUAUUAUUGCUCCCACUGUGGGGAUGUUGGCAAUGUGUGACACAGGCUUCGGGACACGCUCCUGACACAGGCUUCGGGACACGCUCCUGCCUGUGGCUGCCCUGGAGGGAAGAGACCAGGCAGAUAAGGACAUUGCUGUUUGAGCACCAUCUUCAGAAAGCUGCAAGAGAUUCAGGCAGGCUUGUGUUUCUCUGUCCCAGAGUUUGUGACAGUAUGGAUUUGACAUCAUCACAACAUAAUUAUCUACAAAAUGAACUGUUACAGAACUGGUGGCAGAUUUGUUCCCUCACCAAUCUUUCUGCAGGUAUCCUCUUGACUUUGGGAUAUAUAGAUAGCUAUUUUAUACAUAUA
rnacentral:lncRNA from 1 species